CACUUCGGUGGGAAGCGGCGAACGGGUGAGUAACACGUAGGUGAUCUGCCCAUCAGACAGGGACAACGAUUGGAAACGAUCGCUAAUACCGGAUAGGACGAAAGUUUAAAGAUGCUCCUGGCAUCACUGAUGGAUGAGCCUGCGGCGCAUUAGCUAGUUGGUGGGGUAAAGGCCUACCAAGGCGACGAUGCGUAGCCGACCUGAGAGGGUGAACGGCCACACUGGGACUGAGACACGGCCCAGACUCCUACGGGAGGCAGCAGUAGGGAAUCUUCGGCAAUGGGCGAAAGCCUGACCGAGCAACGCCGCGUGAAUGAAGAAGGCCUUCGGGUUGUAAAAUUCUGUUAUAAGGGAAGAAAGGUGAUAGGAGGAAAUGACUAUCAAUUGACGGUACCUUAUGAGAAAGCCACGGCUAACUACGUGCCAGCAGCCGCGGUAAUACGUAGGUGGCAAGCGUUAUCCGGAAUUAUUGGGCGUAAAGAGCGCGCAGGUGGUUAAUUAAGUCUGAUGUGAAAGCCCACGGCUUAACCGUGGAGGGUCAUUGGAAACUGGUUGACUUGAGUGCAGAAGAGGGAAGUGGAAUUCCGUGUGUAGCGGUGAAAUGCGUAGAGAUAUGGAGGAACACCAGUGGCGAAGGCGGCUUCCUGGUCUGCAACUGACACUGAGGCGCGAAAGCGUGGGGAGCAAACAGGAUUUGAUACCCUGGUAGUCCACGCCGUAAACG
rnacentral:rRNA from 1 species